rnacentral:sRNA from 1 species
AUUUUGCGUUAGGGAUAGCAGUGGAAAUCCUUUUUUUGGGAGGGUGCGGGCUUUUUCUGCCCGUGCCCGCCCAAAAAAAGAUUGCAACGGAUAGCCCGACCCUUG